CUUACUAGAGGUUUAAAUUUGUUCUCUAUUGUCUAACCUUAUUUACAAUGGGAAUAUAAAUCACUGAUUUUUAGAACUUCUUUCCCAACUAAUUAAAAAAACUAUUUUUUUUCUUUACUCACGCACAUUUGAUAGCAAAUGUGUGAGUUUUCCACUCACAUUCAGCAAUACAGCAACUCUCCAGAGUGUUCAACAGGGUGUCCAAAAAAUUCACUUAUGGCACUAUCCACAUGGAGUUAGAACAGAACCCCCAGGUUAGGGACUCACUUCAGACACAGUUGUAAGUCCCAGGUUAUGAUCUGUACUUACUUCUGCUCAACUAAAAACUGUGCAUUCCUACAACCUCCUCCUCAGGUUCAACAAUUUGCUAGACUGGCUCAGAGAACUUAGGAAAGCACUUAAUUGACUGAUAGUUUAUUAUAGAGGCUACAACUCAAGAACAGCCAAAUGGAAAAGAACCAAAGGGUGAGGUAUGGGGAUGGGGUUGGAAUACAUAGUUUCCAUGCUCUCCAGGUGUGCCACCCUCUUAGAACCUUAAGGUGUUCACCAACCUGGAUAAUGUACAAACCCGUCAUUAGAGUUUUUAUGAAGGCUUCAUCAUGCGGCAAGAUUGAUGAAACCACUGGCUGUUGGUGACAAAGUUAAUCUCUAGCCCCUGGACUCUGGAGAUCAGUGAGUGUGGCUGGAAGCUCCAAAGAUCUAGUCACAUGGUUGGUUCCUCUGGCAGCGAGCCACAUCCUGAACCUAUCUAUCUAGGGACUUUAGCAGUCAUCUCAUUAGCAUACAAAGAAACACCUUCAUCGCUCUAGAGAUUCCAAAGGGCUUAGAAGCUUUUAUGUCGGGAACUGGGGAGUAACACCAAAUAUUAUAGCAAAAAAGGUUUCUAUCACUCUAUUAUUCAAGAAAUACAAGGAUUUUAAGAACUCUGUGUCAGGAACUGGGGGUAGAGACUAAAUUUAUACUCUGUAGAUAUAUACCAAAUAUAAACAUAUACACACACCCCCCACUGAUCCUUGAACAACAUGGGUUUGAAAUGCAAGGGUCCACUUACACAUUUUUUUUAAUAUAACGAUUUUUUUUUCCAUAUAGCUGGUUUACAGUGUUCUGUCAACUUUCUACUGUACAGUACUUACACAUUUUUUUCAAUAAAUAUGUACUACAAUAUUACACAAUGCCCAGCUGGUUGCGUUUGAGGAUACAGAAUUGUAGAUACAGAGGGCUGACUGUAAAGUUAUACUCAGAUUUUCCACUAUGAGGAGGAGUGGUACUCCAAUCCUCAAGGUGUCCAAGAGUCGAUUGUGUAUAAAUAUAAUCAAGAUUUAUGGCCCAACAUGUUAUCCAUUUCGGAGAACACAUCAUGCGUAUUUGAAUGAAAUAUGUAACCUGUAGUCGUUGGGUAGAGUGCUCUAUAAGUAUCAUCUAUGUUAAAGUUGUCAAUAUGAGGAUCAGCUCUUCUAUCUAUUUUGAUGUUAUGCUGUACCCUGCAAUAUUGGUUGCUAGAAGAAUGGUGUUAAAAUUUCUAACUUGGUAGAACUACGUAUUUUUUCCCUUUAGCACAAAUAAAUUGCAUUAUCAGAGAUAAAAGAAGAAAUGCAUUUUGAAGCUCUGUUAAUAGAUGUGUAUGUGUUUAUUAUUGUUACGUAGUCUUGAAGAAUUGACCUAUGUCAUUAGGAAAUGCUUCUAUCUCAUGCAACACUUUGUUCUUGAAAUUUAUGUCUUGAGCUUUUUUCUCUUUCCUGUUUGUAGAUACAUUUUGAAUCUAUUUACUUUACUCUAUGUCCUCUUAUUUGAAAUAAGAGCAUCUUUUAUAGGUAUGUGUGGUAUUUGAAGUACAUGACUGUCUAGACAGCAUAUAAUUACAUCUGACUUCUCUUUCAAACUAUUUUGAUAAUUUCCUCAUUUAAUUAGAAUAUUUAUCCCAAUAUUUAAUUUGUAUAUGAUUAGGUCUAUGUUUUUCUCAAUCCUAUUUAUAAAAUGUCUUACCUUUCUUGUCUUUUUUGGAUUAUGUGAAUUUUUUUUAGAAUUCUAUUUUUUAUACACACAAACUUGAAGCAUCAAGAAAAUUUAGUAUGUUUGCAUAUAUUUUAUAUACAUGUAUAUCAAUGAUUUUUCAACCACAAGUGACUUUGGUGUCCAGCGAACAUUUAAUAACCUGUGCAUUUUUGGCUAUCACAAACAGGGCAGAGGGGUUGCUACUGGACCAUAGAGGCCAAGGAUGCUAAAUAUUCUACAACACUUGGGAUAGCUCCCCACAAUGAAGACUUAUCCCCAAAUGUCAAUAGUACUGAAGUUGAGAAAUCGUGCUUUAGGGAUUAUAACAUAAAUUCUUACAUUUCCACAGUCACCCUAUAGUUAGUAUUGGACCAUUUUACAAAUUAGAAACCUUAAAACUAUACAGAAACAUUUCAUCACUGCUCAUUUUCCUUUACUCUAAGGCUGUUAUGUGUUGUGUUAUAUGCCUAUAUUACAUCUAUAUAGGUUAUAAACAUAAAUGCAAUGUUUUAAUUUUCCUUUAAACAACCACCUACAUUAUAAAGAAUUUUUUAAAAAUAAAGCAAUCUUUUUUUAUUUACCCAUAUAUUUAUUGUUUCUGAUAUAUCACUUCUGGUGCCCUAUGGUAUUAAUUCUGUUUAGCCUGGAAAAAUUCUUUAAAAAAAAAUUUUUUUUUUUCAUUGUAAGUCUGCCAAUAAGGAAUACCGGUCUUUCUUUUUUCCUUCACCAUUUUAGAAAUGCUGUUCUGCGCUCUUCUGGCUCUAACAUCUCCGAAGAAAAGUCAGCUUCUUCAUCAAAUUUAGGAAAAUACUGGCUAUUAUUUCUUCAAAUAUUUUUUCUGCUCCAUUAUUUUUCCCCUCUAUUUCUGGAACUCCAAGUACACGUAGUUAAACCACUCAAUAUUAUCUAGCAGAUCUCUGAAGUUCUAUUCAUUUUUAUUUCAGUCUGUACUUUAUAUUAAAUAAUUCUUACUAAUGCACCUUUAAAUUCCCUCAGUUUUUCCUUUGUCAGCUCUAUUUGGCUAUUAGUCCAUUAAGAGUAUCUUUUUUCAUGUAUUGCACUUUUCAGUUCUGGAAUUUCCAUUAGUUCUUUAUCCUCUUUAUUUUUCUGUGCAGACUUUAUCUCUUCAUUCACUUUGAAUAUAUUGUAUUUACUUCACAUCAGGUGGUCAUGAUAGCUGUUUUAAGUACUGUCUGUUACCUCCAACAUCUGCGCCAUCUUGAUCUUUAUUUCAGUUAAUGGUCUCUUCUCAUGAGACUACACUUCAUUGUCCUUAUUAUUUGUAUGUCAUGUAAUUUUGGAUUAUAUUCUUGACAUUAUAAAUACUAAGACAGAGACUCCGAUGAGUGUUGUUCCUUUUACUUUAGCAUACAAACAUGUUGCCUCAAUGCAGAACUGCAAACGUUUAUUUUUGGAUGAUAGCUAUGGUCCUGAUCCAGUCGAAAUGCUUUGAAUCAGUUCUUUGUAUACGUGAAUCAGAUAUGAAGAGACAGAAUGCAGGAAUCUGGCUUUAGCCCUUUGCCUUCAAGGAUUUCACCUUAUUUCUGCUGGCUGUUCUUUACCCCAGAAUUGCUUUUCUGGUUCUCUGUUUAGGAGGACUAUAGAUUUCUUCACCAGCACCCUGUAACCCUGCAUGCUAUGUCCAAAGAUUAAAAAUCAUGAAAACAGACAACAGUUCUAUCUAAUUCCCCUUCUUCAAGAUGAUUCCUUUGUUAGAUUCUAAUUACUUGUGUUCAGUGCUUUCAAAUGCUGCUUUUUGUGUUAUAUCCAGACAUAAUUUUUUCUAGUAGCAUUGUUGGUCAGUAGGAUCAUACUUGGUCAUUACAUAAAGCAAAAGUCUCCUUUCAUUUUCCUUUAAUGCUUGUUUUCAGUUUCAGGAGGCCUUAACCUUGAGAGUUCCUAUUAGUUUGUCAAAGUAUUUCUUUCAUUCAGCAAACAAGAUGGUCCUUCACUAUUUUCAAAGAGUAUUUGGUUCUUUUCAGUUAUUUCCACAUUUGUUUAUGAACAAAUAACUUUUCUACAGCACUGAGGGUUCUGGAUAGUUCUUGCUGCAUUUUAUUCACUAAGAAACAAUUGUCAAGAGGAUUUAGGAAACUAAAAGAGGUUGUGCUUUAGCGAUAUAAUUUAAAAAAUAACAGUAGCUUCAAGAAAGUAUAUUUCUGUGGUAACCUGCAAACAGUACUUGACUGAAAAAUCAAUAGAUUUGGGUCCCAGGUCUAGCACCCCCAACUUGCUUACUAUGUUUGUACUGCUGUUUCCUCAUCAUUAGAAACGUCCACCUCAACUCAACAGACAGCAGUGAGCUUUCAACCAUGUAGGAAAAGUCUUUAAGAUAUCAUGGAUCUGCUGAAAAGUCAUUCUUUCCAAGUCUUAAUAUUGAAAUCUACUGAACGUUAACAUAAUCAGUGUUCUGUUCUUCCCCCAAACUUAAAUUCAACACUAUAUUCAAAGAGCUUGUUUAUGAUAAUGGUGCUUAUCUCACAAGUUUACAAUGGUUAUUGCUCAAAUGUUGUUAUUAUUGGCAAACUUGUAAAAACUGUUUUUAUGAUCCUUUAGGGUAUCUACUCCAUCUAUUAUAUUCUAACUUUUAUAGUUUCUCUAUUAUCCUGGGUCCUAUGGGUAAUUAUGCCUUUUUGGCACUGUAAGAACUUUAGACUAAAUCUACUUGAAGCCAACAAGCUGCAUUAGAAAAGAAACACCAUUUAGAAGUCAAGACGUCUGGCACUGUGGAGAUUAGAAGUGUUUGGAAAAUUGAUUUCAAUCAGUUCAUUGUGAAUUGGUAGCUGAUCACACUCAUUUCUAGAUCACUGAAGAGCAUUCUAAGUGAGCUCAUUGGCAUUAAAAUAUGAAUGUGGGAUCGCAGCUAGCAAAUUUAAGAAGGAAGCCACCACCCCAACUGUGGGAAGCCCAUUCCUCUCAAUGAUUUCAUAGUCAUCUGUCCUUCCCAAGCUCACCAGUACACACUCAGUAUCUCCCUUACAUUCUGGUAAUCACCAGACUUCUGAAACCAAAAGAGUUACUUGCUACAUAAGAAGCAGGCAAGCCAUAGUACAGACCAUUGCUGUCCUAUAGAAACAGAAUGUGAGCCACACAUAUAAUUUAAAUGUUCUAGAAGCUACAUUUUAAAAAGAAAAAUAAAAAGUAAUUUCAAGAACACAUUUAAUCCAAUAUAUUUAAAAUGUUACCAGUUUACAAAAUCUAUAUUGAAAUUAAUGAAAUAUAUAUUUUGUAUUCCUCUUAUCAUGCCAAGUCUUCAAAAUCUAGUUUAUUUUAUCCUUACUAUUCAUUCUAGCCACAUUCCAAUUACUCUAUAGACACAUAGGGCUGGGGCUACUGUAUUAGAUAGCACAGAGCCUAAUACUUUUUUGGGGGGGUGGCCACAUAUUCAUUUUUUUGUUUUCGUCUAAUGUUGCCCAACUAUAAACACAAGGAAACCAUUAUCUACCAUAUUGUUCCAGAGGUUAAAAAUGAGUACAAACCUGGCAGAAUUUCAGACCCAAUACUCUUCUUUUCCCUGAGUAGAAGGGACACCACCAGGGAAACAGUUCUUUAGGAUACAACUUUUAAUUGUGUCGUGUCUUUACUUGGAAACAGAGCUCCUUAAAUUCAGGAGUCCAUAUACCAUGAUUGACAAAAAACAGACUUACGUCACAGCUUCAAAAACACAGCAUCACUUUUUCUUGGGUACCAAAUAUUGUUUAGAGGAAGAGCACAGAGAAAACCUUGAGCAAUUAUCAAAGUGCUAUCUUCUCACUAUAUAGAAUGGGCCCCCAGAGAUAGAAAAUUCACCCAAAUUCAUACAGCGAGUUGACAGCAGAUCCGGGGUGGUAAUCUACAUUGGCAGUUUUGUACCUUGUGUUCAGUAAGUUGAAUGUCACACAGUCAAGCCUAUUACUAUUGCACAAAGUCACUCGGCUAUUUCCACACAUUACUCCUAUGUGAGCUCUUAGCAAUACAUAUCUUUGGGAUGAGCAAGCACAAAUGACUUCCAAAAUGCAAGAACUGCAGACUAGUUCUGAAGUAGAGGAAUGAGCCCUAAGGUAUUAGCAGUCUUGCAGAUCAUAUACAACUUGGGAAUCAGAGGGUAAAUAUGAGUUUGGGUUCUAGCUCCGGUAAAAACCAGCAGUGUGACCUUGAACAAAUCUCUUAACCACUCCAUGACCCAAUCUCCUUAACUG
rnacentral:lncRNA from 1 species